UGUGAGAAUCCUUUCCCAGAUCGCUGGUCAU
rnacentral:piRNA from 1 species